ACGGAGGGUGCAAGCGUUGUUCGGAAUUACUGGGCGUAAAGCGCGCGUAGGCGGUUGUGUAAGUCAGAUGUGAAAGCCCAUGGCUCAACCAUGGACGUGCAUUUGAUACUGCAUAACUUGAGUACUGGAGGGGGUGGUGGAAUUCCCGGUGUAGAGGUGAAAUUCGUAGAUAUCGGGAGGAAUACCGGUGGCGAAGGCGACCACCUGGCCAGAUACUGACGCUGAGGUGCGAAAGCGUGGGGAGCAAACAGG
rnacentral:rRNA from 1 species